UGUUUUGACAACAUUUAGAAUUCUGUUACAGAAGAACAACCUCAAGUGCUCUGAGGUAUAUUUUGUAUAACUUAAAACUGAAGUUAAUUAUGCAGAGAGUACUAGCUUUGAUCUCUUAACCUCACAGAGGUUCCAGUAUGAAAGGUCAAAUUUGCAUACUGAAUAUUUGCUGAAUAAAGCUGUUCUUUGAAUGGAUAAAAUAAAAAUAUUAAAUGAACACGGGAAAUUUUUACUUUUCCUUAUUAAGUGACAAGCAAAAGAAGCAUCUAUGAGAGGAAAUUCUUUUUCAUAUCAACCACAAGUUCUGUUUGCAGACUUGAAUAUAUUUUUCUGACUCUGGAGUUUUUAAGGGGUUCUUCUGAAGUGCUUUAUGAUAUUGAACAGAAAUAUUUGCAUGUGCUUUGCUAUUAUUGUUGUGGUUAUCUAGAAUGCUUGACAGGAGUUUUAUGUGUGAACAGCAGAUCAAGCAAUUAUAGAAUGUAAUUCUAAAAAGUGUUUGCUCAAGGUAUGCACCCCCUUGAAAUGUUUUAUGGAGUAGAUCCCCAUCCUGUCCGUGGUAAGAAAUAUGAAGAUGUCCUUUUUCUAGGCUUGCAACAAGGUCUCCUGGCACUCCAUCACAUCAUCUUCAAGCAAACUAU
rnacentral:lncRNA from 1 species